rnacentral:rRNA from 1 species
GACGAACGCUGGCGGCGUGCUUAACACAUGCAAGUCGAGCGGUAAGGCCCUUUCGGGGGUACGACGAGCGGCGAACGGGUGAGUAACACGUGGGUGACCUGCCCUUAGCUCCGGGAUAAGCCUGGGAAACUGGGUCUAAUACCGGAUAUGACUCCAUGACGCAUGUUGUGGGGCGGAAAGCCUUGUGCGGCUAGGGAUGGGCCCGCGGCCUAUCAGCUUGUUGGUGGGGUGAUGGCCUACCAAGGCGACGACGGGUAGCCGGCCUGAGAGGGCGACCGGCCACACUGGGACUGAGACACGGCCCAGACUCCUACGGGAGGCAGCAGUGGGGAAUCUUGCGCAAUGGGCGAAAGCCUGACGCAGCCAUGCCGCGUGAAUGAUGAAGGUCUUAGGAUUGUAAAAUUCUUUCAGCGGGGACGAUAAUGACGGUACCCGCAGAAGAACGCCCCGGCUAACUUCGUGCCACGCCGCCGCGGUAAU